rnacentral:rRNA from 2 species
CUGAUCCCUUCCCGAACUCAGAAGUGAAACCUCUUAGCGCUGAUGGUAGUGUGGGGUUACCCAUGUGAGAGUAAGUCAUCGCCAGCU